rnacentral:rRNA from 1 species
UACGUAGGAGGCAAGCGUUAUCCGGAAUUAUUGGGCGUAAAGCGUCCGUAGGUGGCUAGUCAAGUCUGCGGUCAAAGACUGGGGCUUAACCCUGGAAAGGCCGUGGAAACUGACGAGCUAGAGUGCAGUAGGGGUAGAGGGAAUUCCCGGUGUAGCGGUGAAAUGCGUAGAGCUCGGGAAGAACAUCGGUGGCGAAAGCGCUCUACUGGACUGCAACUGACACUCAGGGACGAAAGCUAGGGGAGCGAACAGG